GACGAACGCUGGCGGCGUGCCUAAUACAUGCAAGUAGAACGCUGAAGGAGGAGCUUGCUUCUCUGGAUGAGUUGCGAACGGGUGAGUAACGCGUAGGUAACCUGCCUGGUAGCGGGGGAUAACUAUUGGAAACGAUAGCUAAUACCGCAUAAUAGUAGAUGUCGCAUGACAUUUGCUUAAAAGGUGCAAUUGCAUCACUACCAGAUGGACCUGCGUUGUAUUAGCUAGUUGGUGAGGUAACGGCUCACCAAGGCAACGAUACAUAGCCGACCUGAGAGGGUGAUCGGACACACUGGGACUGAGACACGGCCCAGACUCCUACGGGAGGCAGCAGUAGGGAAUCUUCGGCAAUGGACGGAAGUCUGACCGAGCAACGCCGCGUGAGUGAAGAAGGUUUUCGGAUCGUAAAGCUCUGUUGUAAGAGAAGAACGAGUGUGAGAGUGGAAAGUUCACACUGUGACGGUAUCUUACCAGAAAGGGACGGCUAACUACGUG
rnacentral:rRNA from 1 species